rnacentral:rRNA from 1 species
GACGAACGCUGGCGGCGUGCCUAAUACAUGCAAGUCGAGCGAGCGGAACCAGCAGAUCUGCUUCGGCAGUGACGCUGGGAAAGCGAGCGGCGGAUGGGUGAGUAACACGUGGGGAACCUGCCCCAAAGUCUGGGAUACCACUUGGAAACAGGUGCUAAUACCGGAUAAGAAAGCAGAUCGCAUGAUCAGCUUUUAAAAGGCGGCGUAAGCUGUCGCUAUGGGAUGGCCCCGCGGUGCAUUAGCUAGUUGGUAGAGUAACGGCCUACCAAGGCAAUGAUGCAUAGCCGAGUUGAGAGACUGAUCGGCCACAUUGGGACUGAGACACGGUCCAAACUCCUACGGGAGGCAGCAGUAGGGAAUCUUCCACAAUGGACGCAAGUCUGAUGGAGCAACGCCGCGUGAGUGAAGAAGGUUUUCGGAUCGUAAAGCUCUGUUGUUGGUGAAGAAGGAUAGAGGUAGUAACUGGCCUUUAUUGACGUAAUCAACCAGAAAGUC